rnacentral:rRNA from 1 species
GAUGAACGCUGGCGGCGUGCCUAAUACAUGCAAGUCGAGCGAACGGACGAGAAGCUUGCUUCUCUGAUGUUAGCGGCGGACGGGUGAGUAACACGUGGAUAACCUACCUAUAAGACUGGGAUAACUUCGGGAAACCGGAGCUAAUACCGGAUAAUAUUUUGAACCGCAUGGUUCAAAAGUGAAAGACGGUCUUGCUGUCACUUAUAGAUGGAUCCGCGCUGCAUUAGCUAGUUGGUAAGGUAACGGCUUACCAAGGCAACGAUGCAUAGCCGACCUGAGAGGGUGAUCGGCCACACUGGAACUGAGACACGGUCCAGACUCCUACGGGAGGCAGCAGUAGGGAAUCUUCCGCAAUGGGCGAAAGCCUGACGGAGCAACGCCGCGUGAGUGAUGAAGGUCUUCGGAUCGUAAAACUCUGUUAUUAGGGAAGAACAUAUGUGUAAGUAACUAUGCACAUCUUGACGGUACCUAAUCAGAAAGCCACGGCUAACUACGUG